rnacentral:ncRNA from 1 species
AUCGUUCAGCAAAAAGAAACAAUUUUUUGCCGAAAGUACGCCGACUGAAGGAACGGGAA